AUACGGAGGGUGCAAGCGUUAAUCGGAAUUACUGGGCGUAAAGCGUACGUAGGCGGUCCGUUAAGUUAGAUGUGAAAGCCCCGGGCUUAACCUGGGAACUGCAUUUAAAACUGGCGGACUAGAGUUGAGUAGAGGGGAGUGGAAUUUCAGGUGUAGCGGUGAAAUGCGUAGAGAUCUGAAGGAACACCAGUGGCGAAGGCGACUCCCUGGACUCGAACUGACGCCGAGGUACGAAAGCGUGGGUAGCAAACGGGAUUAGAAACCCCAGUAGUCC
rnacentral:rRNA from 1 species